rnacentral:rRNA from 1 species
AUCCUGGCUCAGGAUGAACGCUAGCGACAGGCUUAACACAUGCAAGUCGCGGGGUAACAUCUGGUAGAGCUUGCUCUUCCAGGAUGACGACCGGCGCACGGGUGAGUAACGCGUAUCCAACCUGGCCCAUACCACGGGAUAGCCCGUCGAAAGGCGGAUUAAUACCGUAUGCUGUCAUUAAGAUGCAUAUAUUGAUGACGAAAGGACUGGCGGUAUGGGAUGGGGAUGCGUCUGAUUAGCUUGUUGGCGGGUAACGGCCCACCAAGGCGACGAUCAGUAGGGGUUCUGAGAGGAAGGUCCCCCACAUUGGAACUGAGACACGGUCCAAACUCCUACGGGAGGCAGCAGUGAGGAAUAUUGGUCAAUGGGCGCAAGCCUGAACCAGCCAAGUAGCGUGAGGGAAGACUGCCCUACGGGUUGUAAACCUCUUUUGUUUGGGAAUAAAGUGCGGGACGUGUCCCGCAUUGCAUGUACCAUUUGAAUAAGGACCGGCUAAUUCCGUG